GACUAUGGACAUAAACGCGCUCGUAAUAAGCGGAUCGGACCCGGGGGCGGUACCCGGCGGCUCCACCAAUCAUCCUUCAUUUGGGGAUCAUGGGGCCGAAAUAGGAUCGACGAACGUCUAAAGGGGUUAUGCUUUGUCCCGGUGAGGUACCACCGUUAUCGGUCCGAAACGUACAGUUGCAAAUGACAACCGUGCUCCG
rnacentral:tmRNA from 1 species